GACGAACGCUGGCGGCGUGCCUAAUACAUGCAAGUAGAACGCUGAAGGAGGAGCUUGCUCUUCUGGAUGAGUUGCGAACGGGUGAGUAACGCGUAGGUAACCUGCCUGGUAGCGGGGGAUAACUAUUGGAAACGAUAGCUAAUACCGCAUAACAGUAGAUGUUGCAUGACAUUUGCUUAAAAGGUGCAAUUGCACCACUACCAGAUGGACCUGCGUUGUAUUAGCUAGUUGGUGGGGUAACGGCUCACCAAGGCGACGAUACAUAGCCGACCUGAGAGGGUGGUCGGCCAGCCUGGGACUGAGACACGGCCCAGACUCCUACGGGAGGCAGCAGUAGGGAAUCGUCGGCAAGGGACGGAAGUCUGACCGAGAAACGCCGCGUGAGGGAAGAAGGUUUUCGGAUCGUAAAGCUCUGUUGUAAGAGAAGAACGAGUGUGAGAGUGGAAAGUUCACACUGUGACGGUAUCUGUCCAGAAAGGGACGGCUAACUACGUG
rnacentral:rRNA from 1 species